GAUGAACGCUGGCGGCGUGCCUAAUACAUGCAAGUCGAGCGAACAGACGAGGAGCUUGCUCCUCUGACGUUAGCGGCGGACGGGUGAGUAACACGUGGAUAACCUACCUAUAAGACUGGGAUAACUUCGGGAAACCGGAGCUAAUACCGGAUAAUAUAUUGAACCGCAUGGUUCAAAGGUAAAGGCGGUUUUGGCUGUACUUUAUGCCUGAACCCGGGCUGCUUUGGUUGGUUGGUAAGGUAACGGCUUCCCAAGGCAACGAUGGGUAGCCGACCUGAGAGGGUGAUCGGCCACACUGGAACUGAGACACGGUCCAGACUCCUACGGGAGGCAGCAGUAGGGAAUCUUCCGCAAUGGGCGAAAGCCUGACGGAGCAACGCCGCGUGAGUGAUGAAGGUCUUCGGUUCGUAAAACUCUGUUAUUAGGGAAGAACAAAUGUGUAAGUAACUAUGCACGUCUUGACGGUACCUAAUCAGAAAGCCACGGCUAACUACGUG
rnacentral:rRNA from 1 species